rnacentral:tRNA from 1 species
GGAGAGAUGGCUCAGUGGUUAGAGCACUGGCUGCUCUUCCAGAGGUCCUGAGUUCAAAUCCCAGCACCC